rnacentral:rRNA from 1 species
AUGCCCGUCAGGUUCUCGGUUCAGAUGCUAAACAUGGAAUUGAACGGCAAGGAGCUCAUUUCCCGGUUCAAGAAGUCGAAUCGCUUGGACCGUAAAGACAUGAUUAUGUUCCCAGUGUUAGAGAACAUCGACAAGACAAAACCUAAAACAGGCAAUCAUUACUGGAUUUUUAAUGUGAACAUAAGGGAUCGACGUUUUGAAACUCUUGAUUCUUGGAGGACGCUCAAAAACAAGUCUUUAGAUGUUUGCGCAAGGAAGAUGCUUGCAAGUUUUCGCUCUCUAUGGGAAGAGCAUUACGCCAAUUCCCGCGUCUCGCUGGAUGAGUUUGGGCUUACCAACAUCGACGUUCCAAAACAAAAUAAUGAGUAA